UUGUUUCUUCAGGGCAGGGUGAAAUUCCCGACCGGCGGUGAUAGUCCGCGAGUCGAUGCUAUAAUCGACUGAACUGGUGAGAUUCCAGUACCGACAGUAAAGUCUGGAUGGGAGAAGAUAUAA
rfam:Clostridium formicaceticum strain ATCC 27076, complete genome.